UACGUAGGGUGCAAGCGUUGUCCGGAAUUAUUGGGCGUAAAAGAGCUCGUAGGCGGUCUGUCGCGUCGGCUGUGAAAACCCCGGGGGCUCAACCCCCGGGCCUGCAGUCGAUACGGGCAGACUAGAGUGUGGUAGGGGGAGACUGGAAUUCCUGGUGUAGCGGUGAAAUGCGCAGAUAUCAGGAGGAACACCGGUGGCGAAGGCGGGUCUCUGGGCCAUAACUGACGCUGAGGAGCGAAAAGCGUGGGGGAGCGAACAGG
rnacentral:rRNA from 1 species